GAUGAAGAACGUAGCGAAAUGCGAUACGUAAUGUGAAUUGCAGAAUUCAGUGAAUCAUCGAGUCUUUGAACGCACAUUGCGCCCCCUGGUAUUCCGGGGGGCAUGCCUGUCCGAGCGUCAUUGCUGCCCUCAAGCACGGCUUGUGUGUUGGGCCUCCGUCCUCCUCCCGGGGGACGGGCCCGAAAGGCAGCGGCGGCACCGCGUCCGGUCCUCGAGCGUAUGGGGCUUCGUCACCCGCUCUUGUAGGCCCGGCCGGCGCUUGCCGACACCCAACUUUAUUUCUAAGGUUGACCUCGGAUCAGGUAGGGAUACCCGCUGAACUUAAGCAUAUCAAUAAGCGGAGGA
rnacentral:misc_RNA from 1 species